AAGAGGAAAGUGGGAGAGAAGAGAAAAGUUAAUUGGUUUUCUUUCUCAUUUUUCUUUUCCACCGCCAAACACAUCUUCCCCAUUUCUUAUUUCCUUUGGAUCCUUAAACUUGAGAAAGAUGUUGAGGUAGAAUUGGAGGAAGAAGAAGAAGAGGAAAGGGCUGAGAAUUAAGGUGAAGAGAUAAAGAAAAUCAUGAAGGAAUAGAUAGCCAUGACAGAAGCUUCGUGUUUACAGACAUCUUUUGGUUGUUUGCGUCGAUUUGAACACCACAAAAAGAAUUAAGAGGUUGUUGGCAGGCCGAGAAGAAUUAAACCGAGCUUACAGACUAAGGAUCUAGCCCAAGACUGUAGAGAUCGAGUUCCCGGUGCUUGAUAGACUGCUUAGUCUGCUGAAGCUCCGUUAUCGAUUGCCAGUACGUAUUUAGAGUUGGGCAUAAAGUCUGUUGUGUUAUGAUGUAUAUACAUCCUUGUAUGUUAUAGAUACUCCACAGUUUGUAUAAGCUUUAGGAAGUGCGGUUGUGUAAACCUUUGUUGGUUAUGUUUUGGUUAAGGUGUCUCUAGGUUUACUUGUGAAAUUAGUUAUUUCCGAGAUACAUUUUGUGAUGUAUAUAAUUAGUCUAGGAUUCGCUGCGUUGUGUACAUGUAUAAUAGUUUAUAUACUAGACUGACAAGUUCAUCACAUUAAAGUUUUAAGCAGAGUCGACAGAUACAGGUAAAGAAAAGCAUUGUCCUUCGGCUUCACGCCAUCUUUCGGUCUAAGCUAGCAGGUAAUCCAGGAGGGAGUGUGAUAGUGACAACUUCUUGACGCCCAAGACCUAGACUUGUUCUUCUUUCGAGAUACAAAUGAUGAAAGUUAUCUUGCCAAGGUGGAGUUGGUCUCCAAACUCCUCUUUGCGCGUCUUAGCCAUAUCCUUGCUACUUGCCCUCUCGGGUAGUUGGUGAUAAGCACUGGCCAAGUGAUGACUAUAGCUCAACUAACGCGAUGAGGGUUAUAAGCUCAGCUUCUUAUCAAGAACCUAUCACAAGAUCAAACUACAGAGAACACAUUGAUAGAUGAACCGUAAAGAAAUGGUAAAUUGAGAAGGUAUAAACAUGAAAUAGAUUUAAAAAUAUAGACAUUAGGCUACUGUACAAUAUGAAUAAAUACAUUGCAAGGAAAUACAAAAAUGGAAAGUAUAGAAAUGAACAUUACAAGUUAGGAGAAAUGGAAAGUGGCAUCUUCUCUACUCAUACUCUAAGCUCUCACUUAUAGACUAACUGGAGAAGAAGAAUACUUUUACAAAGGGCGGAAAGGCUCAUUUCUGCCCUUCUAUAGGGUUUUUGCCCAUUCAGGUACACUUUUGCUUGGUGUAGAAGAAGACUUUAUGUAGGCAACUUUCGGGGGGAAACUUCUAUUCUUCUGAUCAUGUCAUCACUAAUUGUAGCUUUUGUCGAGUCAUAUCAACUCCAACUACCAUUCUUGUCCUCUAGUGAACCUUCUUUGCAUAAUGACGUAGCUCCUCGCCUAGAAGUUGUAUUUGCCAGGUGGGCUCUUUUCGCGUAGCCUUUGCGCAAGGUCCUCUGCGAUUCACUAGUUUCUUCUUUUGUUCCUUUUCCUGCGUCAAGAUACUUAAAAGGCGGUAAAAUAGAAGCUAUGUUAGGUCAAGGACAAGGUGAUCCACCCUAUAUACUACACGAGCAAAAUUCUUAAUGAGGCCCAAGAGAAUUAUACUGCCACGGAGAAGGAGUCUUUCACAAUAGUUUUUAUGAUAGAAAAGUUCAAUAUUUACAUUGUUGGCUUCAAAGUUAUGGUACAUUAUGGUCAUUCUGUGAUCAGAUAUCUCAUGGCAAAAAAGGACGUCAAACUGUGGUUGAUUAGAUGGGUACUACUACUGCAAGAGUUCUUCCUCACCAUGUUCCCCUCAUAAAUAGGCAAAACUAAGAGUCAAGGAGUAUGAGAAAUCAUACUAUGAGGC